rnacentral:lncRNA from 1 species
GGGGCGCGGAGCCCGCCGGACCGGCGGCUGAUGGCAGCUGCGCAGGAUGACACGGGCCCAUCACGUGGGUGAGCCCUCCCCGCCCCUCGCCGUACGGGACCCACGGGCCGCUGCCGCUGCCGCCCAGGGGACUCCGCCAGCGGCCGCGCCGUGCGCCACAGCUCGGAGAGUCCGGCAGCCGCACGGAGCCUCAGCGACCCGUCCCCAGCACCCCGACGCCCAUCCGCGCUGGGCUUCCGCUGCAGGAGGCGGCCCGGCCCGCAGCCCGAAUGAACCAAUGUGUGGUCAAGCAACUGGCCGUAUGAUUUAACAGGGACUGCCUAUGGAGUCUGGCCCUGAGGAAUCUUGGAGACAUCUGUGUGGUAGCAGUUGGUGAAUAAAGACUUUUUUUUAUGGGAAUCA